CCUACGGUAGGCAGCAGUGAGGAAUAUUGGUCAAUGGACGAGAGUCUGAACCAGCCAAGUAGCGUGAAGGAUGACUGCCCUAUGGGUUGUAAACUUCUUUUAUAAAGGAAUAAAACGAGGCACGUGUGCCUUUUUGCAUGUACUUUAUGAAUAAGGAUCGGCUAACUCCGUGCCAGCAGCCGCGGUAAUACGGCGGAUCCGCGCGUUCUCCGGAUUUAUUGGGUUUAAAGGGAGCGUAGAUGGGUUGUUAAGUCAGUUGUGAAAGUUUGCGGCUCAACCGUAAAAUUGCAAUUGAUACUGGCAGUCUUGAGUACAGUUGAGGUAGGCGGAAUUCGUGGUGUAGCGGUGAAAUGCUUAGAUAUCACGAAGAACCCCGAUUGCGAAGGCAGCUUACUAAACUGUGACUGACAUUGAUGCUCGAAAGUGUGGGUAUCAAACAGGAUUAGAUACCCGUGUAGUC
rnacentral:rRNA from 1 species